rnacentral:rRNA from 1 species
GCGUGAGUGAAGAAGGGUUCCGGCUCGUAAAACUCUGUUGUUAAAGAAGAACAUAUCUGAGAGUAACUGUUCAGGUAUUGACGGUAUUUAACCAGAAAGCCACGGCUAACUACGUGCCAGCAGCCGCGGUAAUACGUAGGUGGCAAGCGUUGUUCCGGAUUUACUGGGGCGUAAAGCGAGACGCAGGCGGUUUUUUUAAGUCUGAUGUGAAAGCUUUCGGCUCAACCGAAGAAGUGCAUCGGAAAAUGGGAAACUUGAGUGCAGAAGAGGACAGUGGAACUCCAUGUGUAGCGGUGAAAUGCGUAGAUAUAUGGAAGAACACCAGUGGCGAAGGCGGCUGUCUGGUCUGUAACUGACGCUGAGGCUCGAAAGUAUGGGUAGCAAACAGGAUUAGAUACCCUGGUAGUCCAUACCGUAAACGAUGAAUGCUAAGUGUUGGAGGGUUUCCGCCCUUCAGUGCUGCAGCUAACGCAUUAAGCAUUCCGCCUGGGGAGUACGGCCGCAAGGCUGAAACUCAAAGGAAUUGACGGGGGCCCGCACAAGCGGUGGAGCAUGUGGUUUAAUUCGAAGCUACGCGAAGAACCUUACCAGGUCUUGACAUACUAUGCAAAUCUAAGAGAUUAGACGUUCCCUUCGGGGACAUGGAUACAGGUGGUGCAUGGUUGUCGUCAGCUCGUGUCGUGAGAUGUUGGGUUAAGUCCCGCAACGAGCGCAACCCUUAUUAUCAGUUGCCAGCAUUAAGUUGGGCACUCUGGUGAGACUGCCGGUGACAAACCGGAGGAAGGUGGGGAUGACGUCAAAUCAUCAUGCCCCUUAUGACCUGGGCUACACACGUGCUACAAUGGAUGGUACAACGAGUUGCGAACUCGCGAGAGUAAGCUAAUCUCUUAAAGCCAUUCUCAGUUCGGAUUGUAGGCUGCAACUCGCCUACAUGAAGUCGGAAUCGCUAGUAAUCGCGGAUCAGCAUGCCGCGGUG